AACACAUGCAAGUCGCGGGGCAGCAUGUGGUUGCUGCAACCAAUGAUGGCGACCGGCGCACGGGUGAGUAACGCGUAUCCAACCUGGGCCCAUAGUAGGGGAUAGCCCGGCGAAAGUCGGAUUAAUACCCUAUGUUCUCUUUGAAGGACAUCUGAAAUGAAGCAAAGGUUCACCGCUAUGGGAUGGGGAUGCGUCUGAUUAGCUUGCCGGCGGGUAACGGCCCACCGGGGCAACGAUCAGUAGGGGUUCUGAGAGGAAGGUCCCCCACACUGGUACUGAGACACGGACCAGACUCCUACAGGAGGCAGCAGUGAGGAAUAUUGGUCAAUGGGCGAGAGCCUGAACCAGCCAAGUAGCGUGCAGGAUGACUGCCCUAUGGGUUGUAAACUGUCUUUUAUAGGGGAAUAAAGUGAGGUAUGCAUACCUUUUGUAUGUACCCUAUGAAUAAGGACCGGCUAAUUCCGUGCCAGCCGCCGC
rnacentral:rRNA from 1 species